rnacentral:rRNA from 1 species
GACGAACGCUGGCGGCGUGCCUAAUACAUGCAAGUAGAACGCAGUUGCGAACGGGUGAGUAACGCGUAGGUAACUGCCUCAUAGCGGGGGAUAACUAUUGGAAACGAUAGCUAAUACCGCAUACUGUGAGAUGGACCUGCGUUGUAUUAGCUAGUUGGUGAGGUAAAGGCUCACCAAGGCGACGAUACAUAGCCGGCCUGAGAGGGUGUGCGGCCACACGGUGCCCGAUACCCGGCCCAGACUCCUACUGGCGGCAGCAGUAGGGAAUCUUCGGCAAUGGACGGCAGGCUUACAGAGCCACGCCCCGUGAGUGAAGGAGGUUUUCGGAUCGUAACGCUCUGUUGUUAGAGAAGCGGUAGCUAACCAGAAAGGGACGGCUAACUACGUGCCAGCAGCCGCGGUAAUAC